rnacentral:snoRNA from 1 species
AACCUCCAGAUUCCUUAUCCCUCAGAUCUAAAUACCGGUUUGAGGGGGUAAAAAAUGAGGAAAAGUAAAACUUAAUUUGCAAAAUUCAGUAGUUUAUGUAAAUUCACUGAGUU